AGAGUUUGAUCCUGGCUCAGGACGAACGCUGGCGGCGCGCCUAACACAUGCAAGUCGAACGAGCGAGAGAGGGCUUGCUUUCUCGAGCGAGUGGCGAACGGGUGAGUAACGCGUGAGGAACCUGCCUCAAAGAGGGGGACAACAGUUGGAAACGACUGCUAAUACCGCAUAAGCCCACGGGUCGGAAUCGACCAGAGGGAAAAGGAGCAAUCCGCUUUGAGAUGGCCUCGCGUCCGAUUAGCUAGUUGGUGAGGUAACGGCCCACCAAGGCGACGAUCGGUAGCCGGACUGAGAGGUUGAACGGCCACAUUGGGACUGAGACACGGCCCAGACUCCUACGGGAGGCAGCAGUGGGGAAUAUUGCACAAUGGGGGAAACCCUGAUGCAGCGACGCCGCGUGGAGGAAGAAGGUCUUCGGAUUGUAAACUCCUGUUGUUGAGGAAGAUAAUGACGGUACUCAACAAGGAAGUGACGGCUAACUACGUGCCAGCAGCCGCGGUAAAACGUAGGUCACAAGCGUUGUCCGGAAUUACUGGGUGUAAAGGGAGCGCAGGCGGGAAGACAAGUUGGAAGUGAAAUCCAUGGGCUUAACCCAUGAACUGCUUUCAAAACUGUUUUUCUUGAGUAGUGCAGAGGUAGGCGGAAUUCCCGGUGUAGCGGUGGAAUGCGUAGAUAUCGGGAGGAACACCAGUGGCGAAGGCGGCCUACUGGGCACCAACUGACGCUGAGGCUCGAAAGUGUGGGUAGCAAACAGGAUUAGAUACCCUGGUAGUCCACACCGUAAGCGAUGAUUACUAGGUGUUGGAGGAUUGACCCCUUCAGUGCCGCAGUUAACACAAUAAGUAAUCCACCUGGGGAGUACGACCGCAAGGUUGAAACUCAAAGGAAUUGACGGGGGCUCGCACAAGCAGUGGAGUAUGUGGUUUAAUUCGAUGCAACGCGAAGAACCUUACCAAGGCUUGACAUGCACGGCGGCGCUGCAGAGAUGUGGUGGCAUUUGGUUGGUCGUGUGCAGGUGGUGCAUGGUUGUCGUCAGCUCGUGUCGUGAGAUGUUGGGUUAAGUCCCGCAACGAGCGCAACCCUUGCCCUAUGUUGCCAGCACGUGAUGGUGGGGACUCGUGGGGGACUGCCGGGGUUAACUCGGAGGAAGGUGGGGAUGACGUCAAAUCAUCAUGCCCCUUAUGUCUUGGGCUUCACGCAUGCUACAAUGGUUGGUACAGAGGGUUGCGAUACUGUGAGGUGGAGCGAAUCCCUUAAAGCCAGUCUCAGUUCGGAUUGGGGUCUGCAACUCGACCCCAUGAAGGUGGAGUCGCUAGUAAUCGCAGAUCAGCAACGCUGCGGUGAAUACGUUCUCGGGCCUUGUACACACCGCCCGUCACGUCACGAAAGUUGGUAACACCCGAAGCCCAUGGCCUAACCGUUUUUGCGGGGGGAGUGGUCGAAGGUGGGAUUGGCGAUUGGGACGAAGUCGUAACAAGGUA
rnacentral:rRNA from 1 species